GCGCACGCUGGCGGCAGGCCUAACACCUGCAAGUCGAACGAACCUUUCGGGGUUAGUGGCGGACGGGUGAGUAACACGUGGGAACGUGCCUUUAGGUUCGGAAUAACUCAGGGAAACUUGUGCUAAUACCGAAUGUGCCCUUCGGGGGAAAGAUUAAUCGCCUUUAGAGCGGCCCGCGUCUGAUUAGCUAGUUGGUUGAGGUAAUGGCUCACCAAGGCGACGAUCAGUAGCUGGUCUGAGAGGAUGAUCAGCCACAUUGGGACUGAGACACGGCCCAAACUCCUACGGGAGGCAGCAGUGGGGAAUCUUGCGCAAUGGGCGAAAGCCUGACGCAGCCAUGCCGCGUGAAUGAUGAAGGUCUUAGGAUUGUAAAAUUCUUUCACCGGGGACGAUAAUGACGGUACCCGGAGAAGAAGCCCCGGCUAACUUCGUG
rnacentral:rRNA from 1 species